ACUCUGGUGGAAGCCCGCAGCG
rnacentral:snRNA from 1 species